UGUUAGUUCUGUGAUAUAUUGUCCAACAUUUUAAUGUAUUAUCUAUCUUUCUAAAUGACAUACAGUAUUUCUCUAUUUCCCAGGUGCUGUUUCCAGUGGACUGUGGAUGGAUAUUGUUAUUUAAAUAAGUUAUGAAUGCAUAUUUAUUUCCCUGCAUUUAUGAAUAAUUUACAAGGAGAAUAGCAUCAUUAUAAAACAAUAAUUUUCAUGACAGCUGCAGACAGAGCAUUCUAUUGACAGCUCAAAAUGCUCUUUAUUGUCAUCUACAGGGAUGGUAACACGGAGGAGAGGCAGCUGAUUGGUGAUGGCUUCCUUCCAGAUUUAUCUCGUCGUGGAUGCCAGCAUUACUGAGCCUCGGGAUCCGGAGUGAUGCAGUGAUCUCAGUCCAAGAGGCUCCACUACAUUCCCUGGUUCGUAUCCAGGCUGAUUCACAUCCGGUUAUGAAGGAACAGACAGAGUAUCCCGUCUACCACAAAACAACAUUACUACAACGUAUCCAAUUUACCAGCAGAGACAUUCUUCAAAGGACUCGGUUGGGCAACACGGCCUUCCAUCUACCACCAACCUACCGAAGCGCAGCUCAGAGUAAAUAUUUAUUGCAUUUUCCUUUUCCAAAUGGGCGGUAAUUUAGAAUGCAUAAGAUACUGUAUUUACGAUAGCACAGCUUCUUCCCUUUUUUCCUCAGUCUUCCCGCUCUUUCACUCAAACCCAGCCCCUUUUCUUUUGUGUAACAAGCUGUCAUAUCUGUUCCGCCCGCUAGGGACGUUUUCCUUUAUGACGUAAUUUGUAAUCAAGUUAUGAUUUAAUUAUGUGUAUGUUUAAUUCUGUGUGAUUAGUUAGGUAUUUAGUAAAUAAAUAAUUAAACCCAAUUUUGCAUUGCGUAUUCAACUUGUGAGCCAGGGUUCGUGCAGAUAACUAAGAAUUUACAACUUUCAGAUGAGACUGAAUUAAGAUGACGAUUAAUAUUGACUGCUAUUGAUGUAAAAUAUUACUAGGUCUUUAAGAGUUUAUUCGGAAGAUAACAGCUCUAUAAAUAUUAUUUUGUGGUGCCCUGACUCUCUAGUUAAUUACAUUUACAUGAUUAGCUCAAUC
rnacentral:lncRNA from 13 species